rnacentral:rRNA from 1 species
CAGUCGCCACGGGAAUACGUAGGGUGCAAGCGUUAAUCGGAAUUACUGGGCGUAAAGCGUGCGCAGGCGGUUAUAUAAGACAGAUGUAAAAUCCCCGGGCUCAACCUGGGAACUGCAUUUGUGACUGUAUAGCUAGAGUACGGCAGAGGGGGAUGGAAUUCCGCGUGUAGCAGUGAAAUGCGUAGAUAUGCGGAGGAACACCGAUGGCGAAGGCAAUCCCCUGGGCCUGUACUGACGCUCAUGCACGAAAGCGUGGGGAGCAAACAGGAUUAGAUACCCGAGUAGUCCCUGUCUCUUAUAC